rnacentral:lncRNA from 1 species
GUCAAAGAUUAUUAUGCUAUGAUAUUUUUGCUUUUUUGUCAUGGUGGAUAUCAUAUAUUGUACAGUAUUUAACUUUUUUGCUUAACAACUAUCAUUAGAAUUAAUAUACUGUAUUCUGUGUAUAGCCUGAGACAAUUUUUUUCUUUAAAUGUGGCUCAAGAUAGCGAAAAGGUUGAACACCCCUGCUCUAAACAGACAACAUUUAGUGACAGACUGCUGAUGAAAUGAAAGCUACAGAUGUUCAAACUUCACAUAAUAAUUGGUAUUAUAGGUACUCCUUACUUAACAACCACCUGUUUAAUGACUGUUCGAGCAUAAGUUCGAACAUUUUUUUAAUGCUCAAUUUAAUGCUCAUUUUUUCAUACUUUUUUUAUGUCAUAAGUUUACACUUUUUUAAUGUAAAAUUUGGUUUUUGCCCAUAUGGAUUAUGUUGAUUAUAAUUUCUUUGAGAGUUGUGU